rnacentral:rRNA from 1 species
UUUCGCUCGGGAAAGACCUGUUUCUAACCGUGUCCCCAUCGGGGGACGACCUUUCAUUACCUUGACCUCAAAUCGGGUGAGACUACCCGCUGAACUUAAGCAUAUCAAUAAGCGGAGGAAAAGAACUAACAAGGAUUCCCCUAGUAACUGCGAGUGAAGCGGGAAAAGCUCAAAUUUAAAAUCUGGUGGUCUUUUAGGCCAUCCGAGUUGUAAUUUAGAGAAGCGUCUUCCGCGCUGGACCAUACACAAGUCUCCUGGAACGGAGCGUCAUAGAGGGUGAGAAUCCCGUCUUUGGUAUGGACCCACCAGGGCUUCUGUGAUGCGCUCUCGAAGAGUCGAGUUGUUUGGGAAUGCAGCUCAAAAUGGGUGGUGAACUCCAUCUAAAGCUAAAUAUUGGCGAGAGACCGAUAGCGAACAAGUACCGUGAGGGAAAGAUGAAAAGCACUUUGGAAAGAGAGUGAAACAGUACGUGAAAUUGUUGAAAGGGAAACGCUUAAAGUCAGUCGCGUCUGCCGAGACUCAGCCUCGCUUCGGCUUGGUGUAUUUCUCGGUCGACGGGUCAGCAUCAAUUUUGUCCCUCAGAUAAUGGCAUGGGAAAGGUGGCACCUUUGCGGGUGUGUUAUAGUCCUUUGUCGCAUGUGAGGGCUGAGAUUGAGGAACUCAGCACGCACGUCCUUCUGGGGUGUGUCGGGGCUUCGGCCCACGCCACGUGCUUAGGAUGCUGGCGAAUG